UACGUAGGUGGCAAGCGUUGUCCGGAUUUAUUGGGCGUAAAGGGAGCGCAGGCGGUGACUUAAGUCUGAUGUGAAAGCUCACGGCUCAACCGUGGAAGGUCAUUGGAAACUGGGUCACUUGAAUGGAGCAGAGGAGAACGGAAUUCCAUGUGUAGCAGUGAAAUGCGUAGAUAUAUGGAGGAACACCAGUGGCGAAGGCGACUUUCUGGUCUAUUAUUGACGCUGAGGCUCGAAAGCAUGGGUAGGCAAACAGGA
rnacentral:rRNA from 1 species